rnacentral:rRNA from 1 species
GAUGAACGCUGGCGGCGUGCUUAACACAUGCAAGUCGAACGGAAAGGCCGAAGCUUGCUUCGGUACUCGAGUGGCGAACGGGUGAGUAACACGUGGGUGAUCUGCCCUGUACUUCGGGAUAAGCUUGGGAAACUGGGUCUAAUACCGGAUAUGACGAUCUCUUGGAUGGGGUUGUGGAAAGCUUUUGCGGUAUGGGAUGAGCUCGCGGCCUAUCAGCUUGUUGGUGGGGUAAUGGCCUACCAAGGCGUCGACGGGUAGCCGGCCUGAGAGGGUGUACGGCGACAUUGGGACUGAGAUACGGCCCAGAGUCCUACGGGAGGCAGCAGUGGGGAAUAUUGAACAAUGGGCGCAAGCCUGAUGCAGCGACGCCGCGUGGGGGAUGACGGCCUUCGGGUUGUAAACUCCUUUCGCAAUCGACGAAGCCUUUUGGUGACGGUAGGUGGAGAAGAAGCACCGGCUAACUACGUG